CUCACAGCCGAUAUGACAACACCUGACUGGUCUGAUGAGUUCUCUCGUGAAAUCUCAAGAGGUCAUUGCCCUGGUAAACACUUGAAGGAAAGGUGUUGGUGACGUAUGUCUCCUCAGCGUCACUGAGCUCACAGGUGUAAAUCCCCUCUUGAUCUGAAGAUAAGUCCUUUAGCGUGAGGCUGCCUGACUCAGACACACUCUCCACCUGCUGCCUCCACUCCUCUGAGACUGUGGAGUGGUUCCCGGUCUGGUUCAGGAUGAUGUGACUGUGGUUGAACCUCCAGAUGAGGCCUGUUAGAGUGUUUGAGGACGUGCAGGGGAUUGUUGUUUCAGUGGCUGAGCCGUUGAUGGAAGCUAAAAAGAUACAACACACAGAUGAACAGAGGUGAUCAAAUAUCUGCUGUUUCUCAUCAGGAUCUACUUCUUCUGAGAAACACUCACUGGGUUGAGACCACGUGGCUCUCCUCUUGUUUGUUGGAGUGCUGACGGUGCAGCUGUAGUCCAGAUCAGUACCUGAGACGUUCAGAGAACUACUGAUGCUGUAGAGCUGCUGCUCAGUCUGCUGGACUGUGGGUUUGUUCUGGAGGGUCACGCUGGACUGAGAGCUGGUGGACCAGGUGAGCUCAGGUUUAGGGAGGAUCCCCUCUGAGCUGCAGGUGAUCCUGUUGUCUACCUGCUGAAUGUCGACUUUACGGACCGGAGCUGUGAAGACGAGUGGAUGAACGAUUCCCCGGUGCCAGUAUCCGUGCCGGUGUAGCACUUGUAUCUGCCCUCGUCCUGAACCUUUACCACCUUCAGCCGGAGUGAGGCGUUUCCUCUGGAGAUCUGGUCCUUGAACAGAGACGUCCUGCCUCUGAAGCUGUUGCUCUGGUGGGUGAACUGGUCUUGGUUGUGGUAGAAAGAGUGGACAGGAAUGAUUCUCGAUGUCACAUGAAACCAGUGGAGGACUAAAUCUUCACCAGCCUUGAAGCUGCACGGUAAAAUGCAGCUCUCCAUGAAAACACAGGACACCUCAGCAUCUGCAACACAUCAGGUAAAGAGACAUCCAUCAAAGUUCACUUCAGGGAGAAUAGCAGCAGAAUCCAAGUGAGCUCUCUUUAAUUAUUUAUAUUUAUAUUCACUGACAGCUAAACGUUGAGACGAACCUUAACCCAGUGUUAACACUAUAAUAACAAAAUGUUCUUUGAGCACCUUUCUAAACUGUGUUACUUUGUGCUCUGCAAUAAAUGAAACAAACAUAAAGUAACACAAGAGUCCUCAGUUCAUCUAUAAAGAUGUUUGUUAGCAAAGACCCUUUUUGAUCUGUGGUCCUUUACAGCCAAGCAGUGCUAGUUUAAAAUGACUCGUCAGGUCGCGUAUGUUUCAUAUUUUAAAGGGCUGCACAAUUGAUCGUAGUUUUAUAGAAAUCACAAUAUUUAUAUUAAAUAUUGUGAAGCUGCAGAGAUCCGAAAACAUCUGUUUGGUAUGGAUCCCCCCAAAAAUAUGUUGUUCAGUGAAAAUGAGAAUAAUUAAUUAAAUUAUCGUCCCUCAAUCACAUCUCAAUAUCAGUCAAAAUAAUCACAAUUAAAUAUAUUAAAUAUAUAAUAUUUCACAAGAGAAAAGGGUCCAGAUGGAGUCUAGACUCCUCCUAACACCACUGAGGUAGAACCAGACGCAGAUCUGAUUUCUCUUUCUGUCAGCAGCGUCUCUCAGGAACCAGGAAAUGAUGUCAUCAGGAAUCUAAAAAUACGACAGCUGCAGGCUGUGAUACAGACUUUGACUAACGCUGGUGGACAAACAGAAGUGUGUUAUGCUCACCUCAUUCCUGGGUGUGUGUGUGUGUGUGUGUGUGUGUUUGUUGGAAUGUGUGUGUGUGUGUGUAGGAAUGUGUGCAGACUGGUUCUGCAGGAUUCCAGUUAAAGCUGACAGAAAAUUCUUUGAUUCAUUUCUUAUUUAUCGCACAUUUAUUUUACUUUCGCUGUCUUGUUACGACAUUUACGUCCUCAUAUCUGAUUCUCAAUGACAAUGAUACAUAAUCCUUCUUCUUUUGUGUCUUUGACAUUUGACCUAACUUAAACUUUCUUAGUCUAUUUUUCUGGAUAUUACAGAUAUAGUUUCUUGCCGUGUUGUGUGCGUCUCGUCUCUUUUGUUUUAGAUGUCUUCAUGUUGUUUCUGAUGCUCUGUGCCAAAGACAAAUGUCUCCUUUAGGACAAUGAAGUCUCCUUCACUCUGCUCUCUUCCUUCACUUACUGUGUGUCCUCGUCUGCCUCCUUUCUGUGGUGAAAGUUACCACGACAGCACGAUGUACCAAGAUUAAACAUCUGAUCUUAUUCCAGUCUAAACAGAACUAACAGUGAAGGCCUCACUCACCUCCUCUUGUACGACUCUGCAGAAAGGUCAGGACCACCACGAACACGACACACUUCAUCAUCCUCAUGCUGCAUUUACUCCGUCGAUGUCGAGAUCUGUUCUGCAUGUGAGCUCACAGCCGAUAUGACAACACC